rnacentral:lncRNA from 1 species
CCACCCCACAUCCAUGCAGCUGGCAGGAGAGAGGAGCUAGUGCCGACUGUGUGAGCAGCCUUAGUUCCCAGCUGGUCUCUUCAUUCCUGAAUAGUUUUGAGUUAGACUCUGUCUCCUUCAAAAACUUUGUAACUAUGGAGACACGAUAAUGAAUACCCAGGCAGAUAAAGAAAAUUCCGCACGUGGAAUGUAUUUCUUGCAGUAAAUCUCAUCCUUGACUUGUAUUUUAUUACUGUUUUCCUUUUGUGCAGACUCCCUCCACGGUUUCCUUUAUUCUUUUGAAUAUCUAAGGAAUCACCUCAGAUCUUGUGUAAGGUGAGUCAGAGUGUAAUAAACAAAUGGAAAUAAAUACUGACUACUCAACAUUUUAAUUACCCGCAAACUUGUUUUUUUCAGCACCAGCUACUUUAGGGAGGAUGAAUCUGGGAACUUUUUUCAAGACAGUGAGGAAGGUUGAGAAGGUUGAGGUGGCUGAGGUCGCUUCUGUGAAGCUUGACAGUUAUCCUACCUUUGUGGGGAAAGAGAUGGAUGUUCAGAAAAGAUGCAUGUUUUGCUCAAGAUCAUCCAGUAUGGAAAGGAGGAUUCACACCACGUUGGUCUGACUCAGAGGUCCAGCAUUUAGUUCUGGAUUCCCAGAAAAUGCUGAUUAAGUUAGCAGAACUUGAGAACUGGAUAUGGAUUCUGGGAGGACCUUUAUUGUAUUUCAUUGUCCCCAUUGUAUGUACAAUUCAAACCAAGAAUGAAG